UUCAUAGUAUUCCCUGGCCAAGAUGAGAUGCUCUUCCCUAACACCUAUGAUUCCUCCUGUGGAUCCAGCUCUAGCAUGAAGUACAAGCAUAUUUGCUGAAGGCAGUAACCAAAUGUCAAGCUGCAGUUUUGUGCAAAUUUCAUGUGCCAACUUCCCUUUUCUAAGAUCAUCGAUGGGACUGCAGGACUGUAGUUUCCCUGUCACCUUACUUAGUGGGACUCCUGGACAUACAACAAUUCCCAAAAAGGGAGUGCUGUUCCACCAGCAGACUUUCCAUCUGGAUGGCCCUGGCUUCUACUCCUGGUGAACACCAUUUGAACCAAACUGUACAGAAUGAUGGCCUUUGCUGUCAGAGGUGAAGUACCAAACAAAGAAGAAAGCAGGAAAUGAGGAGCUGGUAGCCUUUUGACUACAGGGAUUCAGUAAGUCAGCAAAAGUACAUUAAUUGGCUUGAUUGUUGGUCUGCUGCUGGCAAUGUCUGGCUCAGCAAUGAACCAGCUGGGUGGCCGUGCAUUUCUUUAUUUGAUAAGUCAAACACAAAGUCU